rnacentral:lncRNA from 1 species
CACGACGUCCCUUCCUUUUCGCGAUAAAGCCUUCCCUCUGGACGACGCGUUCGUUCUUUCCCUUGCACCCGACGCCGGCGACCUUGCUGCGCUCCUCCAAUUCGCGUCCCUCGCUCCGUUUCCAAGCCGUUCGAGUGCACCAACAGCUCCGCCUCGAACCAAGCCACCGAUUGCGCCCCUUGCUGCAAGCUCUAAUCAUUUCUAGCCCCGGCUACGUCCGUUCUUCCUCCACUCCGGCCAAAAACGCCGCCGAGGAGCACCUCAACGUGGACAGGCCACCUCGAGCCAUUGCAGGACAAGCUACGGCCACCAGCAGGUGCGCACUAGUCUGGGCGAGCUUCCCCGAUGCUCCAAUGCCGCCGACGAGCACUCCAGCGCCGAAACCACGAUCUCCGGCGAGUUCCCCUGUUUCCAGUUCGCGACCAGGGACUUCGGGCGACAAUUUGAUGUUUCCCAGGGGUCUAUUUGCAGAGACUGUGACUUAGGUGAAUAGUGCUAUAAGGACUUGUUUGUAGAUGUUUUGCUGAAUUUUUGAAAAUUCAUAUCUGGAGUUUGGCAACUCCAAUUUUGGUGAACCAAAUUUUGUUGUGCUCCUUGAAAUGUCUAGUUUUUAUUAAAAAUAUGAAACUGACCAUGUUUUGUAGUAAAAUAAUUAGUUAUGAUUUAUGCCUUUUAAUUAUGUUUAAAAAGGAGAAAUUCAUAUCUAAUUCGGUGUAGCUCCUAUGGGCCUGAAAUUUUUAUAGUGUUUUGAUGAUGCUAUGUGAGUGUUACAGUAAAAAUUUCAUGUUCAGUGGAUGAUAUAUGGUUAAGUUAUUAAUUUAUCUUGUUUAGUGCUUAUUAAAUAGUUUACAAUUAAACUAAAAAUAAAUAAAUGUAAAAUACAGUUCCUCUGCCUUUAUAUGAGGUUGUUAUAUCAUACAGAUACAUAAUUUAGCUAUGUGUUUGUAGAAAAUGUCGAGUUUCUUAAUUAUCUUGCUGUUACAUGCUUUCUUGUGAUGGCAAUUUAUCUUUUUCAUGGAAAUUGCUAUACUUAUCCAAAUGGCAUGAAAUUAAUACAGUAGACUUUGGAGAACAUAUAUGAGCUGCUGUAGUUUUCUCAGAAUUUACUGUAUACUUUUGAUAUAUGGUUAUUGCUUUGUCUAUUUACCUAAAUAAAUUAAUAAAAACAUGAAAGGAAUUUAUUUAGGGAUGACCAUGAUGUUUUCUAGUAUCUCUUUGAUGUAUUUCAACUAUUUGUGAGCUGGGUUUUGCCCAGGUCCAAGUUUGAAAUAUUAAUGAAAUGUUAUUUGUCUAUAAUUAAUUUAUUAGUGAUUUCUGGACAGUUUCUGGAACCUUAUGAAUUGCUCUAGGUAAAUAAUGUUGGGUAUGAAACUUGUCUAUAACAAAGUUGUAUAGAAUUCAUGUAUCUAGCUGGUGUUAAAUUUUGGUGGCAUUUGGCCCUAUAGUUUCUGAGUUAUGCCUGUUUAAAUUUAAGUUUCAGAAAUGGUUCCUCUCUGUCAAAUUCUGGAUCAGUUUCUGUAGUUGUGCAAUUUCAACCUACUAAACUUAUGAAUCAUGCUUUCAUGAUAAAAGAUGAAUUGUAGUAAUUUUCAUAAGCUUUCCAAAAUGUUAUGGAUCAUGAAUUUUGGUGAUCUAGAACUCUGGUUAUAGAUGUAUGAAGCUUAAUGUCUGAUUCUGUCCAAGGUCUGGACAGAAUUGUUUAUUCAUACUGUUUGGCCAUGUUAUCUAUUAAAUCAGUUCUCGAAGAUAAUAACAAAGUUGUAGAAAAUUAUCUAAGCUUUCCAGAAAGUCUAAUAUCACCUUUGUUGGAUGUUUGGAUCCCUAAUUAUGGUUGAAUGAAGUUGUGUAUAUGCUGCUGUCCUGGUUUUGUGUGCAAAUAGAAUUGUUUGCUUUUAGCUAGCCUUUACUUAAAUAAUGAGUAACUUAAUUUCCAAAUUAGAAUUUGAGUGCUUUUGGGAUUGUGUGAUGACCUGAGGUCAUUAUCUUUUAUGACCUUUGGCAUUUAAUUAUUGUUUGAUGUUAAUACUUAAUUACUGCCAUUAAUAUUUAAUUAAGAAUUGAUUAAGAUAAAUAGAAAACCUAAUCAUUUUAGGUUUUGAUUGAUCUUUGGGAUUGAUUGACAACCAGUGGUUACUUGGCAUGAUAUGCUCCCUGGUUAAGGAUUCUUUCAUGUAAAUGAUCUUUGUUGCUUAAUAACUACACAACAUUGCUUAAGGAAGAUGAUAAAAUUUGCUUAGUAGUAAUCUAUGCUUUGAUAACUAAGUUAGUUUGUUUCUAUACCAUGAAAGUAAGUUGUACUCGAGGUAGUUAUGUUUGUUGUUAUCAUCCAAGAACAUGUAAUCUGUCUUUAUCAUGUCAUAAGCAUCUCAUUGAUCAUGCAUAUGCACUUUUACGUAUAGAAUACGCUCCGGAAGAAUCAGAUCCUCAGUGGGUCACUUCCGAGUUUGAAGAACCAUCUGGUUUUGCUGAGUUGCCGAACUUCCCUUCCGGUCAAGGCAAGCCCCGGACAUUAAACCCUAUCCUUGUAUUUUCAUAAAGUUAUUUAUAUCACUUGAGUUAAUAUGAUGCAUUAGGUGAAUAGGAGUUGAGUGAAUCCUAUUUGCUGCAUUAUCUACCUUGAUGAUUUCCAUAUUAACCUUGAUACCUGCUUUAUGAAAAUGCUUAGUAUGCUUAGCCCUGCUUAUUAGAUAAGUUUUCAAAUGAGAACGUUUGAAGGGCCGUUGUGGAAUACUUUUAUGGUUAAUAAUGUUUAAACUUGAGACCGGUCGGUGGACUUGCUUUAAGAAUGGAGUCUUAAAGUAGUGUCUCCAACUGUGUCGAUUAAGGACCGUACCGUUGAUUGGCCUGUUGUGAUUGAGACCUUUGAGUACAGCCCACAUGCGGCGGUAAGCCUUACCUAUAGCUAUUCCGAUACUUGAGAACGGCUAACCGCGUACUGGGAGUGGAGAGAUGGCGAGAGUAGCGUGUACCCACCUUACGGAUCUGAGAUGACCGGGAAACAUCUAGAUUGGCUGUAGGAUGGUGGUGUACUGUACUCUCGGGUGACGCUGGACCCGUUCUUGUAUGGGAGGAUCUAUAGAAACAGGUUGACAUAUGCAAGAUUAAGUUCUACAUAUGUCGUGUGGUACUGAAUCCCCAGCUGGGUUUAAUCGAUUCGAAUCGCCGUGUUUCCUCGGAUAUGGAGCCUCAAUCCUCACACCACCAUAUAAGAAAGAGGUGGUUUGCUUAUGAAAGUUUGAUAAUAAUUUUGGUUAGUCAUAAAUGAUGAUCUUGAGUUAAAACUUGAAAGUAGGUUUUACUCUUAGUAAGCUUUUAUGCAAAAGAAAUGCUUUGAUCUUGCUAAAGCCUUACCUUAAAUCCCUAUAGCCUGCAUACCUGAGUCUUCACCUCUUUUCUAGUCGGUUAAGUCUUGUUGAGUACUUUUGUACUCAGGGUUUUAUAACCCCGGUUGCAGGUGCUGACUUAGGCUGCUAAUGGAGGUCAUGUCGGUGGGCGCGACAUGAUUUAUCCACCUCUUCUACCUUAGAAGCUUCACCUAAGAUGCUUCCGGUACUCUACACACCUUUUNNNNNNNNNNNNNNNNNNNNNNNNNNNNNNNNNNNNNNNNNNNNNNNNNNNNNNNNNNNNNNNNNNNNNNNNNNNNNNNNNNNNNNNNNNNNNNNNNNNNGCCAAUCAGAAGUCUUUGAGACAACGAUGGGUGCAUGUGGGCCACUUAAUUCAGGAGGUUCUGUCACAGCUGGUAUCAGAGCUCAUACAUGGAUCUUCUGCAACAUUACUUGUGAAAAACUUCAAAAGGAAUUUACAAAUUAAAAAGUUUUGAGGAUAACAACUUAUAAAUGUUCCUUAACUUUUCUUAUGCUUGCUGUCUGAGUUCUGUGAAGACUGUCUGCUGACUCAAAUAGAAGGCAUUGAAAGGGACUUCAAUUCUUCUUCAACAAGCCAAGUGAAGAAUCAAACUACUCCAACAAUGCUUUGUCAAAAGUCUUGCAACAUUCCAUCCAGAGCGAUGAAGAUAGUUUAUAAAUAAAGCCCUAUAAUCUACUAACAUGAUGAAGAUAGAGCACUCUCGCCGUUGAGAAGACGUAUAGGCGAGCAUAUUGCAUAUCAUGCAUAACAUGACAAUAUAAUGAUACUUAAAAGCCCCUCCUUAUGCUUCAAAAACAGUUAUUAUUCGUUAUAGCUGUUUUAUUGAUGAAUCUCAUCAUGUACCAGGUUUCGUUACCUGAUUGAUAAUCUUUUACUCCAUAAGAUUCUAAUCCUUGAUUCAUUUGUUAUGCAUGUGACCUUCCUUGAUUGCAUCUAAUUCGGACACCUACUACCUCCUUGAUGUCAUUUGUCAACAUUUAUGUUGAUUGAAUGUCACUAUGAUUGUGUCCUCUUAAGGUACCAUGACCCAUAACUUAGGUAACAGCGCCGAAACCUGGGGUCUCCUAUGGCUCGCGACCAUAAGGAAAUACUGCCGGGCGCUCGCUGUUAUCAAAGUCUAUGAUCAUGAUCCCUUAUAGACCCACAACUUAAGUGACCUCACUCUUUGAACAAUAUUAUGGGAAUCCAUGCCCAUAUCUCUUUGGAAUUACCUAAAGCCCCUGACUUGGAUAACCAACAUAGGUCAUUGAAAGCUAUUGUAACUGUACUCUAUAGUAGGUACCAUGAUCCAUGAUCACGUUAUAGCGUCGAACCUUGUAGUCUCCUGUGGACUGCAGCCAUAAGGAAAUACUACAGGGUCCUCGUUAAACAUCGGGAUCUCUGGUCAUGCUCCACUAUAAUCUACUGUUAGUGUGCUUUCAUUCUCCUUGGAAGCUCAUUUGGAGAUUCAUAUCUUCGUAUGAAUUCUCUAAAAUUCCUGAUUGAUUACAACUUCUUGUUGAUCUUAGUUGUAAUUCUCGGACCAAUUGUAAUUGUUGUAUGAACUUCUCAGAAGUUAAUGUGCUUGACACAUUUCCUGUUCCAUUACUUAACACCACGAGUUUUAGUACCCUGGAAAUCUCGGGACGAGAUUUCUUUAAGGGGGAAGGGCUGUAACAUCCCUGAUGUUACGAACACUAAAACUGGAUCAUGUCAUCAUAAGCAUUGCAAAGCAUAUUUGUUAAGCACAUUAUUAUGCAUCCACUUAAAAUAAGGUUAUUUUGGUUGAUUGUGCUUAGGAAAUUAAAGUGUGCUUAUAUUGUGUAUGGAUGUUUGUGUUGGUGAUUAAAACCCUGGGUGAAAGUUUUUCCGAAAGACUUAAGGGGGGAAACCCUAAUUUCAAAAACCUAGAUUUGCCCCUUUUGUGCAAUUCAAAAACAAAGCAAAAUUUGAAGUUGAGUUCAAAAGCAAAGUUGUAGAUCUUGUCAAGAUGUACAACUUUGGUGUUUUGAGUUUUUGAAGUUUCAGUACAAAAUUCAAAGUAAUUUUGAAAAUACAGAUUUCCAGAAAUUGUCCCUUUUUCCAAUUUUAAUCCCUAAUUCAAAACCUAUUUGGAAUUUUGAAAAGUGAUCAAAAUGAAAGUUGUAGGGCUCAUCAAAAUGAACAACUUUCAUGUUGGGAGUUUUUCAAGUUGUUGUGGAAAAUCAAAAGUAAUUUUAGAAAUUCUAAUCUGCUCCAAUUCAAAAUUUGGAAUUUCCCCAAUUCGGGAUUUGAAAUUCAAACUGUUUUGUCAAAUUCGUCAUUUUCCACCCAGAAUUGGCUUUGGUCACCAAAAGAAGAUUUGUAGUUUGUAAAAUUCUGAAUAACUUUUGUUUUGGUGGAAUUUUGUCUUCAGUUCAAAAUUUGGACGAAUUUUGCAAAACCACAAAACUGGUUGGAUAAAGCCGGCUACAGUAACCGAGGUGGACCUCGGCGCUCUGUCCAGCGUGGUCGCCGCCCGCGCAGCACCGCCUGCGUGCGUGAAGGCACGCAGCUGCUUGGCUGCCUGCGUCGCCAGACGACGUGGAGGCACGACGUCCCUUCCUUUUCGCGAUAAAGCCUUCCCUCUGGACGACGCGUUCGUUCUUUCCCUUGCACCCGACGCCGGCGACCUUGCUGCGCUCCUCCAAUUCGCGUCCCUCGCUCCGUUUCCAAGCCGUUCGAGUGCACCAACAGCUCCGCCUCGAACCAAGCCACCGAUUGCGCCCCUUGCUGCAAGCUCUAAUCAUUUCUAGCCCCGGCUACGUCCGUUCUUCCUCCACUCCGGCCAAAAACGCCGCCGAGGAGCACCUCAACGUGGACAGGCCACCUCGAGCCAUUGCAGGACAAGCUACGGCCACCAGCAGGUGCGCACUAGUCCGGGCGAGCUUCCCCGAUGCUCCAAUGCCGCCGACGAGCACUCCAGCGCCGAAACCACGAUCUCCGGCGAGUUCCCCUGUUUCCAGUUCGCGACCAGGGACUUCGGGCGACAAUUUGAUGUUUCCCAGGGGUCUAUUUGCAGAGACUGUGACUCAG